AUUUCUAAUUCUCAGUUAACUGUUCAUCGGCUUAUGAACAGUACCGGCUGGAGCCGAGCCGAAACUGUGAAAAUUACGGUUUUGCCCUCCAUUCUUUGCUUAAUUGCGGUUUGCUGUUUGGCCUGGGUAUAAAAGGCGCUGAGGUGACAGAAGCGAUCCUUUUCCCCUUUCUUCAUUCUUGGGAUGACCUCUGCGUUUCUGUUGUUGAUAGAGUGAAAGAGAGGGAGAGAAUUGCGGAGAAUAGGUGCUGUGUGUUGUGAUCGUGUUUGUUUUCCUUUUAUGGUUUGUUUCGGUGGACGCGACCUUUUUUCUUUCUCUUCGUUUUUGCCUCAGCUCUGCGUUCUUGGGAGAGAGUUGCAGAGAAUAGGUUCUGCAUGUUGUGAUCGUGUUUGUUUUCUUUCCAUUUAGGGUUUUUUUGUUCUUUGCAUGUGACUGAUUUGGGGUUUCGGUGAUGCAGGAGUUCAUGUUAGUAACGAGAGGGAAGAUGGAGAUUGGAAUUAGAUUGAGGAAAGCAGGAGAGUACUUUCUUUGGCGAUUUUGUUUUGUUGGCGAUUUCGGGUUUGUUGGAAACUCAGCUAUACUUGAACCAUUGAAUCAACUUUUGUCACCAGAGGUGUUCAACUUGUUUUGUUUGCUUUUUACAGAUUUUAUGCAAAAAAGUGUACUAUCAUUCAGUGCCACUAUUCCUUGGUCUGCUGUUUAGCGUUGUCUCCAUCUUUUAUUCUUAUUUAGAUUUUGGGAACAGUGUGCUGUCGGAUGUUUCAAUAGCCUUGGUUCUAUGCAAAGUAGAGAUAGAAAUUGGUCCUUGAUGGACAGAACUCUGAAUUUAAGUAUUUGGGUCUAUUGAUAUUGGCCAGAGAAGGUUUUAUUGGUGAUUUAGUGGUAGCAUUGGUCAAAGAUAUCUAGCGCUUGGGCGAGGAGAGGCAGAGUGAUUUUGGGGAAAAUGGGAGAGGAAUUGACAACGAAAUCCACAGACACUAUGAACAAGGAAAAAAUGGACUGAAAUAUCAUGUCACUUUUUGUGUAAAUAGAAAUGGAGGCAGCAACUUUUUGGACUACCUCCACAGCUAAUCAUCACUAGGCUAACAACCUCUCAGCAACUGAUGUCGAUCACUUUUGAUAUAGUCACUAGGUUAGCCUAUAAGUAGAUCACUGUAUUUUGGAGA